AUUCGAUUAGAGUUUGAUCAUGGCUCAGAUUGAACGCUGGCGGCAGGCUUAACACAUGCAAGUCGAGCGGUAGCACAGGGGAGCUUGCUCCCUGGGUGACGAGCGGCGGACGGGUGAGUAAUGUCUGGGAAACUGCCUGAUGGAGGGGGAUAACUACUGGAAACGGUAGCUAAUACCGCAUAACGUCGCAAGACCAAAGAGGGGGACCUUCGGGCCUCUUGCCAUCAGAUGUGCCCAGAUGGGAUUAGCUAGUAGGUGGGGUAAUGGCUCACCUAGGCGACGAUCCCUAGCUGGUCUGAGAGGAUGACCAGCCACACUGGAACUGAGACACGGUCCAGACUCCUACGGGAGGCAGCAGUGGGGAAUAUUGCACAAUGGGCGCAAGCCUGAUGCAGCCAUGCCGCGUGUGUGAAGAAGGCCUUCGGGUUGUAAAGCACUUUCAGCGAGGAGGAAGGUGGUGAGCUUAAUACGCUCAUCAAUUGACGUUACUCGCAGAAGAAGCACCGGCUAACUCCGUGCCAGCAGCCGCGGUAAUACGGAGGGUGCAAGCGUUAAUCGGAAUUACUGGGCGUAAAGCGCACGCAGGCGGUUUGUUAAGUCAGAUGUGAAAUCCCCGGGCUCAACCUGGGGAACUGCAUUUGAAACUGGCAAAGCUAGAGUCUCGUAGAGGGGGGUAGAAUUCCAGGUGUAGCGGUGAAAUGCGUAGAGAUCUGGAGGAAUACCGGUGGCGAAGGCGGCCCCCUGGACGAAGACUGACGCUCAGGUGCGAAAGCGUGGGGAGCAAACAGGAUUAGAUACCCUGGUAGUCCACGCUGUAAACGAUGUCGAUUUGGAGGUUGUGCCCUUGAGGCGUGGCUUCCGGAGCUAACGCGUUAAAUCGACCGCCUGGGGAGUACGGCCGCAAGGUUAAAACUCAAAUGAAUUGACGGGGGCCCGCACAAGCGGUGGAGCAUGUGGUUUAAUUCGAUGCAACGCGAAGAACCUUACCUACUCUUGACAUCCAGAGAACUUUCCAGAGAUGGAUUGGUGCCUUCGGGAACUCUGAGACAGGUGCUGCAUGGCUGUCGUCAGCUCGUGUUGUGAAAUGUUGGGUUAAGUCCCGCAACGAGCGCAACCCUUAUCCUUUGUUGCCAGCGGUUCGGCCGGGAACUCAAAGGAGACUGCCAGUGAUAAACUGGAGGAAGGUGGGGAUGACGUCAAGUCAUUAUGGCCCUUACGAGUAGGGCUACACACGUGCUACAAUGGCGUAUACAAAGAGAAGCGACCUCGCGAGAGCAAGCGGACCUCAUAAAGUACGUCGUAGUCCGGAUUGGAGUCUGCAACUCGACUCCAUGAAGUCGGAAUCGCUAGUAAUCGUAGAUCAGAAUGCUACGGUGAACACGUUCCCGGGCCUUGUAGAC
rnacentral:rRNA from 1 species